AAGAGUAUGUAUGGGACCCUAUUUUUAUUUUCUGGACCUCCAACACGUAUCACAGGAGGUUUGAGUAUUUCUAAUUAUAUUGUUCAUUGCUCUCAUUGCUUGGAUCACACUUCUUUUAACUAAAUUUGGAUUUAUAUACGUUGAUGAUAUUUCCAUGGAUGUUUGAUGUAAUUAUAUGCCUUAAAUCCAUUCAACAAAGCUGCCGCUGCUGAUCUCUUGGCCAAGAUAGGGGACUGGCCUCUCCAUUAGUCACUCUAUAUACUUCAGUUCCUUGUCAUUUCGAUCGAUGAUCCACAGAUUCUCUCCUACACGAAUUGUGGAGGCACAGGGGGACUAAUAUGAUCGUGGAGGCACAUCAUUUGUUCAUGGUUAUGCUGGGAAACAAGUGUUACAAGUACAGCUUGCUAGGUCCACCAUCCACCAAUCGGAUUCACGAGUAUUAAGCCAACCACAAGGCAAAAGCUAUAGAUCGAUGAUCCCAUUAUAUGACCCAGCCAUGGAAAAAGAACCUCUACUUUGCUCUGUAACAAUUCCGAGGAUGCAGAGCCAGGUUUCUAUAUCAUUCUUUGUGAGAACUUACUGUAGUUAAGUGGGGUGAGAAACCAUUGUGAGAACCUCUAUUACCGGAGCAGAUACAAAACAUGGAGAACUUUCCUUGCCCAAACCACCACUGCAGUUUUCUCAGAGAGACAAGUCGAUGAACCUUAAUAAAAGCAUCAAACUCCUAGAAAGAUAGCUAAUCAGGCAAAAAAAACCAGUUAACAGUUGUCUCAAGCAAAAUGCAUCAGUCAUCAGCAAAAAUGUGAAAAGGUAUCUGAUACCAACUCUGGUCUCACCUUCAUCUUUGUAUUAUUGCAUGGAAACGAGUGUUGAAAAAAUAGCUAGCACUACCAAACUGAUUAUAGAAAGUCAAGCCACCAAAAAGAAAUAAAGCUAGAUGAUGCAAAAUCAAGACAGGUGAGUCAAAUUGUUACAAAAUCAGAUUCAUGUUGUUGUCUGGCAACGUAACACAGAAACCUCUUUUUUUUGGAUCCGUUGGGUUCAGGACAACAAAGUUGAAUACGCUAAGGAA